AGCUGAGAAGUGGUGCAUGGCCGUCGCCAGCUCGUGCCGUGAGAUGUCCUGUUAAGUCAGGUAACGAGCGAGAUCCUUGCCUCUAGUUGCCACCAUUACUCUCAGGAGUAGUGGGGCGAAUUAGCGGGACUGCCGUAGUUAAUACGGAGGAAGGAGAGGGCCACGGCAGGUCAGUAUGCCCUGAAACUCUGGGGCCACACGCGGGCUGCAAUGGUAACGACAAUGGGUUCCGAAUCCGAAAGGAGGAGGUAAUCCUCAAACGUUACCACAGUUAUGACUGAGGGCUGCAACUCGCCCUCACGAAUAUGGAAUCCCUAGUAACUGCGUGUCAUUACCGCGCGGUGAAUACGUCCCUGCUCCUUGCACACACCGCCCGUCGUUUCAUUGAAGUUUGCCUUUAGCGAGGUGACGUCUUAUUGGCGUUAUCGAACUUGAGGUAAGCGACAAGGGAAAAGUCGUAACAAGGUAACC
rnacentral:rRNA from 1 species